AUUUUACAGUGUACAGUUUAUCAGUUUGGAAUGAGAUGUACCAAUCGGCAUUAGAAUUAUCAGAUCCCUUCGAUACCGUUGAAAAUAGCCGAGCCAAUCACCUGCAACAACGCCAAAACAGUAUUGGAAAGUCUCAUUAUUUUUUGCGUUCAUAGACCAUAUGAUAUGGCAACUGGAGAGUGGAGUCGCGUCAAGUUAUCAGAAAAUCGUUUCUUUGUGCUGUAUCUCACGGCUUCGUCGUGUUGUAGGAAAUAUCACAAACGAACAAAUCUCAAUAUUGUCUGAAACAUACGAAACUGACCUAGCAUGUAAUUUUGACGAAUUCAAUUGGGAGGUCGCUCGAUGCCGAACACGUACGCUGGUUUAUAACAUCUCGCGAGUGCUACCAUGCCAUGCUGGCCCUGAGAUCAA
rnacentral:lncRNA from 1 species